rnacentral:tRNA from 1 species
AUUUAUAUAGUUUAAUAAUAAAACAAUACAUUUUCAUUGUAUAAAUAAUAUUCCAAUAUUUAUAAAUG